ACGGGGGGUGCGAGCGUUGUCCGGAAUCACUGGGCGUAAAGGGCGCGUAGGCGGCUUGGCAAGUGGAAGGUGAAAUCCCUCGGCUUAACCGAGGAACUGCCCUCCAAACUGCUUUGCUUGAGGCCGGGAGAGGCGAGUGGAAUUCCCAGUGUAGCGGUGAAAUGCGUAGAUAUUGGGAGGAACACCAGUGGCGAAGGCGGCUCGCUGGACCGGUUCUGACGCUGAUGCGCGAAAGCGUGGGGAGCAAACGGGA
rnacentral:rRNA from 1 species